GUCGCUGCGAGGCGGGGUGGAGAGCAACUGGAGGGCGAACUGGCAGUGCGCAGGAUGACGAACUCGAUUCGGCGGUGUGUGGCGACGAGCCUGCUCUCUCAAGGCGAAGUCCGAAAUACGUCCGGUACGCUGGUGAUGGCGUGUAAAGCGAUACCGGAGCACACAACGUGGCUGGAGGCGCAAUGCCAGGAAGGUGUGGCGA
rfam:Burkholderiales bacterium RIFCSPLOWO2_12_FTLL_61_40 rifcsplowo2_12_scaffold_22375, whole genome shotgun sequence.